rnacentral:tmRNA from 1 species
GGGGCCGAAUGGUAUCGACCGGGCAGGGAAGGCUCGUCGUUGCGCCUUCGUGGAGCAUCGCGACACGUAAAACGGAUGCACAUUCAUAUCUGCCAACUCGCAGUAUGCCCUCGCGGCCUGAUUAGGCCGCGACAGCCGCCACUUGACGCCCGAUGGAGUGGCGGCUGAAAACAUCGGGCUGGUUCCAAUGGGCUGACAGGCCUCGGCGGGACGAGAUAUUCGUCUGUCAUGGUUCGUGCGAAGGGUGUCGUUCCUCGUCGCAAUGAACCGAGAUCAAAGUGACGACUACAUGGCGUAGACGCGGCGGGUUGACUGUUUCGGCACGGGGGUUCGAAUCCCCCCGGCUCCAC